rnacentral:rRNA from 1 species
UUACCGCGGCUGCUGGCACGGAGUUAGCCGACCCUUAUUCUUACGGUACCGUCAGCUCAUCACACGUGAUGAGGUUUCUUCCCGUACAAAAGCAGUUUACAACCCGUAGGGCCGUCUUCCUGCACGCGGCAUGGCUGGUUCAGAGUUUCCUCCAUUGACCAAUAUUCCUUACUGCUGCCUCCCGUAGGAGUCUGGUCCGUGUCUCAGUACCAGUGUGGGGGAUCACCCUCUCAGGCCCCCUACCCAUCGUUGCCUUGGUGAGCCGUUACCUCACCAACAAGCUAAUGGGGCGCAUGCCCAUCCUGUACCGCCGGAGCUUUCAACCCGGAAAGAUGCCUUUCCGGAUAUUAUGGGAUAUUAAUCCGGAUUUCUCCGGGCUAUUUCCCAGUACAGGGCAAGUUGCAUACGUGUUACGCACCCGUCCGCCGGUCGCCGCCUGGUAUUGCUACCUGCGCUGCCCCUCGACUUGCAUGUAUUAAGCCUGCCGCUAGCGUUCAUCCUGAGCCAUGAUCAAACUC